ACACAGCUAGUGUCUGAGACCAGAUUUAAAUUCAGAAAGCUGUCUUUCUGACUCAAGGCUUGGGACUCUAUCCACUAUGCCAUCUAGUUGUCCUCUUUAAUAGCUAGAGUCAACUAAAUGCCCACUUUAUUUCCACUCAUGGGCUAUAUUUCAAUGUCUUUUGAUGUAGUAAUAUAAGGUAUAGUCUGAGUAAGAGAUGGUUUUAUAGAGAAUUCACAGCUAGAAAUCUAUUUGGCAGGCACAUGUACCUCCAUCAACAUUAUAGUAUUUCUGAAACUGUAUUCCGAUAUCUAAAAGAGGAGAAAGUAUUUUAAUUGCCCUUCUAUAGUUUCUAGUUUAAUGUGCUUUAAAGAGUUUAAAUGUCAGGAACUAGAUUAUCCUUCCAGCUCUUUCACAGAAACUGUCAUCUCAUCUUUUAACCUAGUUAGCCAAAACAGAGUUGCCAUGUUCUGAAAUGGGAAAAAUCAGCUUAGAGAUCAAAUGAACAUAUACAAAGAAUCCAUGCUUAGUAGAUGAUGGAAUUAGAAUGAAUGUCUCAUCCCCAUCCUUUAUUAUAUAAUUUUUCAAGGAACCAUGAAAAGAAACCAUAUUCAGUAAAGAAUGGUAGAAAAAAAAGAAAAAAUGGGAAAAGAGAUGGUGGAUUUACUUUUAGGAUCUGGGGCAAGACAUUUAGUUGUGAAUGUGCUGUAUAGAAAAUUGUUAAUGUUAUAGAGUAUUUUGAAUGUCUAUCUGUCCCUCCUUUCAUCCCUCCCUCCCCUUUCUCUUUCUCUUUCCUCUUCUCUCCCCCUUUUUCCUUCUCCCUCUUCAUGUACAUAUAUACAUUCAUAUAUAUGAAUACAGACAUUUGUAGUUUUUAAAAAUUUAAGUGGAAAGAACAAGAAAAUAGAAUAGAGGAAAAAACAUUAAAGUCAGAAAACUUGGAUUUUGGUCUUUACUAUUUGUGUGGCCUUGGGCAACCAAAUCAACUUGUAUGAGCUUCAUUUUCUUCAAUACCAACCCUGUCUAUCACAUAAUGUAAUCAUUGAUAUCAAAUGAGAUAAUAUAUUCAAUAUUUUAUAAUAAUGGAGUACCAUAUAAGUAUAUGUCACAAACACAUCUGUAUAUAAAACAUGUGCCAAUGUACCAAAUGUGUAUUUACUGACAUACCAUAACAAUGUUUAAGUGUACAUAUGCUACUGAAAAGAAACUUAUUCAUAAAACAAAGCACAAGAAUGACAACAUUAUUGAGAAGUAUUCUUUUGGGCAUAAAUGGCUACCCCAAAAACACAUUUCUUCUGUCUAACUUGAAUUUUUUUUUGUUUAUCUCCUGAAUGAAUGUGGAAAGCUUUUUAGAACUACUUUCCCAAUGUUUCAUAGAUUCAGUUUUCAACCAAUGAGAUUUCUCCAUAUAUAAAGCCUAUUUCAUAAUCAAUAAAAUACAACUACAACACAGAAUUUCACUAGUGAUAUGUCACUAUUUAAAAGCUUUUUAAUUAUGCCAUCUAAUAGGCCAAAAUGAUGAAUCACUAAUUAAUUAAUUUGAAAUGUUAUCCAACUUUAUAUUUCCCACUAAACAUACCCAUCAAAAGGCCAGUUUGCUUAGGCAUAGACUAGACCCUACAGCUAGCUAUCUUGCUUUUUUAUCUCAAAAUAUAGGUAGUUCAUCACAAAUUGAUCCAUAAAUCUUUCUAAACAACUAGAAAAAACAAAUAAGAAUUAGUAUCACUAUAUUUCUAUAUAAAUUUUAGUUUGACUUGUAAUCUUUGAUAAGCAGUAUUUUGUAUUUGCAAGGGAUCAGAUAUCCAGGCAAAAACAAAAUAUAACUGAAUCCUUAUUUUGAAACAAUGAUUGCAUGAUCCUGGGCAAGUCACUUAAUCUCUUAGUAUUCUAGAUAACACUCUAGGAAAGCAAAUUGAAGAAGAAUUGCCAAUCUACCUUGAUAAAGAGAGUUUUCUCAUCUCUAAACUCUUGAUCCCAUUGAAUCUUCUAUCCAAGGCUUCUUAUUUAUUUACAUAUAUUGUUAGAAUUAGAGGGCAUUAGAUUGCACUAUAAUAUAUUCCUUUACACCUUAUUUUCUUCAAUGCUUAUCAAUAGUUCCAUGUGUUCUCUUAAAUCAGGGCUAUUUUCUUCACCAACAAAGGACUUAGAGACGCAGUAAAUGAUUUAGUAUUUCCUUUCAUUUACCCAUAAACUCAUAUGUAUCUCAAACUUCCACCGAUAUUUCAGAUAGUACUUGCACUCAAUCACAGGUGAUUGUUUAGGUAACCAGUCCAUAACACAGAAGCACAAACUGCAGAUUUCCAUUUUUCUCCUCACUAUCCUCUUCCCCCAAUGUGAUUUAACUAAUAAAACUUAUGGCAAGCAUUUUAUAAAUUACAUUUAGAGUUACUAUUUUCACUCUUAAUACUUAUUCAUGAAAAGAACAAGCAAACCAGUAAGGAAAAGCCUUAUAAGCACAGUAAGAAAUACUCAUGUAGGGAGUAGUUAUGGACUACCGUGGUAUUUGUCACCAUUCAAAGAGCUAGUGAGUGUUCACAGACUUCAGGAUUUUUAAAAUCAGUGAAUUUUAUUUUUAAAAUAUGAAUUCAUGGAAUUCUGAUAUAAUCAUAAAGUAGGAUUCAACAAGAUGCAUAAAGCAAAUGGACAGACAAAAAUCUAAAUUGUUUUAUAUCCAAUCUUUAUCUUUAAGCUCUCAUUCAUUUCUAAAACAUUGGUAAUGGGGUGUGCUAUGAAACAGCAUUAUUUCUACUUUCAAUUAUUCUCCACAAAAGUUUGAUUUUAAUGGCUAGAAUGUAAAGUUUAUGAAAAAAGACUGUCAUGAGUUAAAGUUAGAAAGGUGAGUGUAAAACCAAAUUCAUGGGUUUUAAUGGUUGACUAGGGAGUUUGCAUUUUCAUCUACAGGUAAUGGGAAGCCAUAGAAAGUCGUUGAGUUGGGAAGCAAAAUGGUCAGAUGUAUAACUUAGAAGGAUAAUUUUGGAAGUUGUUUGGAAAAUAGCAUGAAGAUGAGAAAGAUUCAAGGUAACCAACUAGGAAAUUACUUUGAUGGUCCAAGCAAGUAUUGGAUGUGAGAUGCCUACAAGGUUUAGAGGAAGAAACAUGUACCAAAGAGUAAUAUUGAACUAGAAUUUUGGAGAGAAAUUAGGAUUGGAUAAAGAAAUUUAGGAAUUAUAUUUGUGUAGAAAUGCUAUUUUAACUCAUAGGAGGAUAUUCCAUUCCAUUCCAACAAUACUUUUGAUUCCACUUGAAAACAAUAGCAUUAUUACUGGGGGAAAAGCAGAAUUUAAUAUGAAGACAAAAAAAAAUAAAUGGAUUCAGAAAUAUCUGUCAGGAUUUGAGGGUGUUCAGGAAAGAAUGGUAAAGGAGGUUUUCAGGAGCACCAGGUUGGUUACAAUUCUUUCCUCCUUCACCCUACUUAGAGAGUGCCAGGGUCUUUGCUGGCUGUAAAGUAAAGGAAAUGAAGAUUUGGCUUGGGAGAGCUUUUGAUUUGAGUAAAAAAACUUGGAAAGGUUUCAUUCUGGGAGUUCAGAAAACGAGCUAUUCUCAGAGUGUUCUAAGAUUGAGAAGGUUCAGUAAUAAUAUGUAGGAGAGAAAUAGUAAGUUUGUUUUGAGCACUAGGAAAAAUGAGGAGCUGAUUUACCCUGACUAUGCAUGGAGCUCUAAAUUUGAUUUUCUGUCCUAUGUCCUUCUUGACAGCUUCUUCAGAUGAACUAAGAAAAUACUAAGAAGAGCACAAUGAUAUGGAGCACCAGAUUUACAAUUUCAUAUUUUAAAAAAUAGAGAAAUUCAGGUUCAUUGCUGAAUUAAAUUGAGCAAAUAAUUCAACAAAUUUAUUAAGUGCUCACUUUGGAACAACAUGGAGAAAGAAAUGGCAAAUCACUCCACUGUCUUUACCAAGAAAAUCUCAAACGGAGUCACAAAUAAUUGGACAUGAUUGAACAACAACAAACAAGAACUGUGUGCUAAAUAUCCGGGAAUAGGAAAAAAAAGGUUUAACACUUGUAAACUCUACUUUUCCUCAUCAUUUUGGAGGCAGUAAUAGCUCAGUAGAUUGAAAGCUGAGCAGAGUUGUGAAAAUCUGAAUUCAAAUUUGAUCUCAGACACUUAUUAGCUAUGUAACCCUAAGCAAGUCACAACUGCUGUAUGCCUCAGUUUCCUCAAUGGUAAAUCAAGGAUAGUAAUAGCACCUACCCUGCAGGGGUGUUGUGAAGAUCAAAUAAGAUAAUAUUUGUAAAAACACUUAGGACAGUGCUUAGCACAUAGUAGGUAUUAUAUAAAUGAUUAUUCCCUUUGCCUCAGUUAGCUUCAACAACCUAUCUUGGUGAAUCUUCAUAAUGAUCCAACAAUCCAAUAAAUAUAUAUUAAAUACCCAUUAUGUACUAGGCACUGGACUUUCAAAAAAUGAAACAGUCCCUUAACUUCCAGGAGCUCAUCUUUGAUUGCUGGCAACAUGUUCAAGGUAAUACAGAGUAAAUGCUGUGACUGGAGGGGAGAGGGCGAGGGUUGAAAAGAAGUCUCAUUUAGCUGGUGACUCUUGAUCUGAGCUUUGAGGGUAAUAAGGAAUUUUAAAAAGGGAGUAGAUUCUACACAGUAAAAUGAUCUUUGCAAAGACACACUACUAUCUUUUCUAAAUAGUAGAUAGUAGAAUACAUUAAGGGAGAUGAUGUGUAGCAAGUCUACAAAGGUAGAUUUGCUACAAAGGAGCCAGGAUGUGAAGAGUUUAAAUGAAAAACAAUGAAAGAUCUGAAUUAAGCAACUCUUUGCAUUUAACAAUCAGCUAUCAUUGCAGAGCUGAGAAGAUAUUACCAGCAUUAACCUUCCAAAAUAUCCCUCAAUAGAAGAUGUAAGAAUUUGUAUAACUCUAAUCUUAGAUAAAGUUUAAGGGAGAAGGAAGAGAGAAGUUAUAUUGCCAAUGGAAAAUAUAACUUAUUAUUAUUUACCAGAAUAUAGAAUUAAUACAUAUAACAUUUGAAGCAUUGGACAGAGUGCUUAAGCGCUCUUAACCCUUUGGUGCAUCCCACUGCAAUAUGUCCUACUUUAUCUUUAUUAUCCCUAAAAUUCAAGGCCAACAAUAAAGUAGAUCAAUGCAAAUUUUAAUACCCUUUGAAACCACAUGAAGUAGUCAGUUUCUUGACCCAUAUCAAGAAACAUGAAUUAUUUACUCAGCUUGAAGAAUAAUUGCUUAGAAUUUAUAGAACAAAAAAAUUAUUAAGACAUAUUAUGGAAAGUACCAUUGGCCUCCACCCAUGUUUACAGCUAGUCAUUCAUCCUUUCCUUCCAUAUCAUAAUCACUUCCAAUCACAUCUAGAAAAGUUAAAGAAAGUAAGAAGAUAUCUCUCAUAGUUAUAGAAAAAAAUUCCACCAUUAUUUACAGGUGGGAAGAAAAAUUUUAAAAAUUAUAUUGUGUGCCUUCCAAUGAAUUAAUUAUAUCAGUAACUUUGCCUUGAGUGGGAAUCUUAGCAGAUGAGCGUGGGUUUUCUGAACCUGGCUGUCCAGUAUGAAAUUUAAGAAUUAUUAAAUAGAAGCAUAAUUAAUUCCUUGUUUCAUUGUGACUUAUUCUCUAAUCUAUAAAAUCACAUAAUCUCCAUUUUUCUGUUAUUUAAGAAAGAAAUAAUUGUACUUGUUCCCUAAGUGCCUUAGAGGAGGUACUAUAAACAUGAAAGGCAUUCCCCUUUAAGUCAUUUUAUCCCUUUAGAGAUAUGUGAUUAUUAUCAUUACUUAUAUUCUCUUCCUAUAUCAGUAUGGACUUAAUUUUCCUCCAAAUAUUAAGUUUUAUUUGUAUAAAAACCUCUCCCUUUGUGAAAAACAAUGGGACCGAUUUCAAAACAAGUUUCUCUCUGCUCCUGUCUUGGAAAACUAGGCUCCUUUGGAGUACAAAUAAAAUUGUGUUUUCUUGUUGAUUGUUUUUUGGAGUUUGGAAAAUAUUUUUCCUUUUUUAUUUGUACAGUUCCAUGAAAAAGUUUCACAUUUUGUUACUCAGACCAACUAUUAGACUUACAUUUCCCAGCAUAUUAGCCUUUUAAAGUCAUCUUUUCUCUUCUAGUUGGAUAUUUAGCAAAAUGGACCUAUAGGUAUAAGACCACAUUUAUUACAGAAAAUGGCAAGUUUUCCUGCCUUGUGUUAAAUGGUAUCUGUUAAUUUGAGAUUCUAAUUAGAUGGAGGGACAUCAUCAUAUUCUUAUGGUCACUGAUUAUGACAUCUUUGUAUCAAGACAUAAGAGAUAGUGGGGUGUAGUGGAAAGAACCCUGAAUUUGGAGUGACCUGGUUUGAAGCCUGACUUUAGGAUGUGGUAAUGGAUAAAUCAUCCUAAAAAUGGGGGAGGUAGACUAUAUGGCCUCUGAGAUCCUUUCCAGCUUAGACCAGUGAGGUAAGAUGAUUUUCCAGGUAUAAUUUGUAAUUUGUUUUUUGUAUAGCUUUGGAAAAUUCAGCCUUCUUGUGCUUCAGAUCCUUUGUCUAUACAAUGACAUGGCAGUCAUGCAUUAAAUUGCUUCCUAGGAUUGACUAAUAAUGAUUUUGGACUUCUUCAACAUAGUUAUCUGCCUUCUUAUUGAGGGUUUCUAAAUCACAAAUCAUUUCACAAUAGAAUGUUCUAUAUGUGUUAAAGAUGUUUAGUUAUUUCCUAGAACCAUUUAGUUAUGGAUUAUGGACUUCUUCAUUACAUAUCUAAACAGGGUUGGGAUACACUCACAUUUUAAUAGUGCCUUUAUUUUCCCAUGGUCAAUAAAUUAAUAUGAAAAUUUCCUACUUCUCCAAAGAAGCAGAGGGUGAUGGGAGCAAUAGUGACUUUCUACCCCUGGAAAUUCUGUCAUUAUGGCCUCAUGUCUAGGCUUUCUUGAGGAGCUAGUUCAGCUAUAAUUUUAAAAUUAGAAUUUGUACACUUAUACUGAAAAUGUUCAAGAUAAUGUAGGUCCAUUGAGAGCUGGCAUUGUUUCAUUUUUGUGACUAUAUUCCCAAUGCUGUUCUUCCAUGAAUUGUGCAAGGAAGGAUCAGUCUGUAGCUCACAUGUGCCUCUAGAAGAAAAGCAAAGAAAACCCCCGGCAUAUUAUAUUCAGUGUGGCAUGGGAAGAUAUGAAUUAACCCCAUAGAAUGUGGUUUUCCAAAGUUAUACAGUGAACCAAGAAUAUGAACAGGUUUAUAAUCCACAUAUUGGACAGACAGGAAUAUUCAAUAACACAUACAUAUUCAUACAUAUGUACUCUAUGUGUUGUAUUUAUACAUAUAGAUUUCUUUUAAAAUUUACAUAGACAUAAACAUUUGGAGUCAAUCUGGAGUCAAAGGAUCUGGAUUCAAAUCACAAUUCUGCCACUUACUGCCUGUGAGAUCCUAAGUCACUUAAAUUCUCUAGAUUCUCAGUUUCUCCAUCUAUAAAGGAUAUUGGAAUAGGUCAUCCCUAACAUUUCUUCCCACUCUAAAUCUCUGAUGAUCAAUAUAUUCUCCCCAGUAGUUAUUCACCCCAGCUAAAUGAUCCUUUAACAAUGAAAGGAAGCAUGUUGUAAUAGAAACAAAACUGACAUCAGGAAGCUCUUGGUUCGAGCCACGCCUCUGUGUGACCCUGAUCCAAUAACUUAAUCUCUCGUGGUCCAGGUAACUCUCUAAGACUGUACAUUUCAGAGAAGCUGCUCAUCUGCAUUGAUAGAGGGAAUUUCAUGACCUGGAGUUCUCUACAGUAAUGAAAUCAAAAGUCUAAAAUCAGACCUGAUUAUAUAUGCCUAUAGUAGUCCAUUCAAAAAAUAAUCCUACAAUUACUGAUACAAUGAAAUACUCUAUAAGAUAAAAAUUAUUGAAAUUCAGAAAUACUAUCUGGUCUCUACCUAUAAAAUAGAAAGACUAAAACAUUAUCUAUACUGAUCUGCUUCUGCAAAGGACCAAACAUGUUUGUAAUAACUAUAAAUGUCUUCUGAGAUUUCAUAUACUCUAUGAUAACCAGUCUAACAAGCUAUAAAACUUUUAUAUACCAGCAUGUCUUUCGUGUUUCAUGACACUGCCUAUAUUUUACUAUAUGGACAUCUUAAAUCUAUAUUUAAUAGUUUUCUCCAAAUCAAAUGUUUCCACAAGUCUAACAUCUGAAGUAACUAUAAACUUACGUGAUAUUUGUCAUUCAAGGAAGGAAAGUAUUUAAUAAAAAAGACACAACUCAGUCAGUGAGUUUUAAAUACCAGUGAACUUCAUGAGUGAUCCUUUUAUUCUACUUCUCAGACUUUCCUCUCUUUUCAUUUUGAGUUUAUGAAAUGCUCUGACCAUCCCAGAGACGCUGUCUCAGAGUAUGAGCAAAACUGAUCCAUCUAGAAUAAGUAAAUGACAUGAUAUCCUUGUGUUAGAUCCACAAUUGGUUCAAGAAAACAAAUAACCACUCUCCAAAAAAUUCUGAUUACAAGAGUUUAUUUUUAAAUGUUUCUCCUCUAAAAAAAUGAUUAAAAUAGUGUGGGAGAAUAUCUAUCAAGGUAUCCUAAAUCUCUAAAUUUCUUCUGAAUUAUUUUCUGAUUUCAAAAUUGAAUUUUUUUAAAAAUCCGAACUUAAAUUUUCCUGCAGAGAAAGCUGAUCUCAUUUGAACCUCCAUUGAUUCAGGUAAAUAUUUGGCAAAAUCCAUUCUGAACCUUUUUUUUAAAUUAACAGGAAAAAUGCCCAGCCAAACAACCCAACCAAGUUUUUUUCUUUGAUGCUAAAAUUGUCCUGCAGCUUUCCCACUGGCACACACUGUGCAAGCACACAGAAAAAAAGUAAAAAAUUGGCUUGGUAUUAGCCAGUCUUGGCCAGGUGCUCUUUGCAAAUCCCGAGGCAGGAAUUGGCAGGCAAGCAGCACAGAGAGCUGAAACAAGGGAAAUUCUUUUGCCAGCAUCAUUUGCUGAAAGCCACCCAAAGGAUUAAAAAGAAUUAUGAAGCACAGAAGAUUAAAUAGCAAAUUAAAAAGUGACUUUUUAAAAAGAAGUACCAACCAGAGUAAUUAUAAAAUUCCUUCUUUUAUCUCGUGGCAUGUAUUGUACUAGUCAAUUUUCACCAUGUGAAUGUAUGUGUAUGUGUAUGUGCUUGUUACCUAGUCACAGUCAGAGUCUCAAGUUUUAUGUCAUAGUCUUCUGAGAGGACAGUUAGAAGUAUGUCCAUUAGGCUGGGCAGCUUUGGGGAUUGUAUUAUAAAUAAAAGGAAAAUAAGAUGAGCACCCAACUAAAUCUAGCCCAAACUUGCUGAGUUCAUGUAUCACUGACAAGACAGGGCCUAUGAUUGAGGAAAAGACCAGCUGUCACCUCUGUUUCUAACCAUGUCAAGUGUAGCUACCUUACUCUGGGAGACAAGUGGAUGCUUAAGUUCCUUUAUUUCAACUACCCUAGAUUUACCAUUUUGCCAGCCCAUUUUGGCACUUCAAGUUAAUCUAAUGCAUAUUUAUGUGCUGAUUAUGCAAGGCAAAAAAUGAAUUAAGCACCCAUGAUUUAGUCUGGUUAAAUCUAUUACAUGGUAUAAUGAAAUUAUAGCCUGAUGUCCAAUUUACCUUAACAUUUUUUUAAACUGUCACUAAAUUAUUAAGUAACCAUAACAAACCAAACUAAAGCUCUCAGAAGUCUCACUUGUCAAUUCCAUCACAAUGCCUAGUACCCUGAAAUUUGAUUCAAAUCCAUGCAAAAAUUAAUAGGGAAAUACCCAAGACUAAAUAUAAAUAUUCAAAUAGAAACAUAAUCUGAAUAAAUCACUGAUUUUAGAAAUAAAAACACACUGUUAUUGAUCCCAUCCCUGGGUAAUUCAGCCUACAUCCAAAGCCUUCAGUAAACUACCAUGUGGCAGUGUAAAAACUAGAAGCAAACACAUUCAAGGGAAGAUCCUUCAUAGUAAGAAUUUACUCCAACAAUCUGUUCCUGCCCUAUGAAUUGAGUCAGUAUGGCAAGUUACCAGAUUCAAGUGAGAUUUAAAUUUUUGAUGGGUUAAGUGACAAUUUCCAGCCAUAGUACAUAUAUGCUGGAAAACUAUAGGUGUUUCUAUUUUAAAAACACAAAUUCAUUGGAAUCUUCAAAGCUAAAAAUAAAAUUAUGCUUGAGUGGGAAUCUCUAUGCUGUAGGGAUUGUACAAAUUCCACAAAAUAAUAUUUGCACUCAUAGGCUUGAUUUGCAAUCAGAAAUAAGGUGAAUUCUUGUUAAGAGUAGCUGAACUGCAAAUUCAAUCGCAAUAAAUACAAAACCCCAAGACACUGAUGUUCAAUUCUUUUUCUUACCAUGGCAUGUCAUUUUAAUAGCUACCCAAAGUGAUUUCCAAAGUGCCUGGAUUCUGAAUCCUUUUUAUAGAGGGAACUCCCAGUGAAGUCAAUGAGAGUUCCAUUCAUGUAAGAAUAUGAGCUCAGACCAAUAGAUCUGCAGUUCUAUUCUGAGCCUUGGAGGGCACACUACCCUGAUAGUUUGCCUGAGGGGAUAAUUCCAAUACAGGAGGAAAAUGAACAUAUUAUAGAGCUAUCACCCAAAGCACUUAAACCUCACCUAGUCAAUAAAGGAAAAUAAAAAUCAGCUUCUAUUAUGGUUAAUGCGUUAGGAAGCAUAUUCCCUUUUAAAACAACUACAACAAAAAUGAGCUUGUAAAAAUAUCUUCUGUUUUUUAUAGGACUUUGUACUGAAAUAUGUCUGUGAGCACUAUUACUUUAGCUGUUUGGACAAGAAGAGCAAGGCAGGGGGUCUAGUGAGCAAUCAAACAGUAAGUCAAUUGAGGGGUCAAGAUUAGAGCCUUGGCAAUGUACUUUGACUUUGGUGUCUUUUGCACUUCCAGUGAAAGAAUUAGAUAAUCAAUGCUUUGGGGAGCUACUGUACCAAAGGACUAAUUGAAAGAACCACAGCACCUUAUGAAAAAAAGACUACUUUAUAUAUAAUCCCAGUUCAAAAACUGUCUUGGAGCAACCUGUCCGGAUUCUGUGCCCAGCAAAGGGAAAAUAUAUUAAGACAAAGAGAUGUUGCAAGAGGUUCUGCCUGAGCAUAAAUAGUUAAAUACAGAUUAAACAAUUAAGGCAUAAAUCAAGACCCUGUCUCAUUUAUUCAAUUAAUGUGAUAAGUGAAUAAAGGUAUUUUCCUCCAGCAGGUUUUAAAGUUAUUAUGCAAGAAAUAUUAUCACUACUUGAGAGAACUUCCAACAGAUACAUUUAGAAUUCAUUGGGCACAUGUCAAAUGCCCACCCAUCAGUUCUCAUAAAAGCUGGACUUUUAAGAUAUCCCACUCCGUAGUGAAAAGCUCCAUUCAGCCGGAGGGCAAUGAUUGCCCAGAUCUUUUGCCCCAGUCUGAUGCUUCCUACACACAGGGUCUAGAAGUGGUAUAGGGACAAGCCCCUUGGACAUAAGGUCCAAAAAUCUUUCCAACACAUCUUGAUGACUUUUCAUAAAAGAAAGAAUACAUUAACCUACUUUGCAGAAAAAAGACUCCGUGGUCCUUUCUACAUUAAAAAGAACAAACAAACAUAGAGUUGGGGAACGAAAAAUCAUGGGGUACUGGGUAGAAGGUAGCACGGGGGGAAUAGGCAUAUGAGUCCCUUAAAUGUGUUACUCGCAAGCUGCAAAGCAGUCCACUCAUUGGUACUUUUCUAGUGAACAGCUCCGAGGCUUGUACCGACCAAAAGGAUAGGGCUGCAAUGGAAACCCCACUAAAAUAUGGCUGUCUAAUCAUCCAAGAGGCAAAGUCAUUUGUUAAGGUUCUCAUUGUCUCCUCUGAUGAAUGGCUACCUCCCCCCACGACCCCGGUGCCCCUGCCUCAGCCCUCUGUGCCUUUGAAUCAAUCCUAUUCCCCACCGGAUCUGCUCUCUUUCACCAGCACAGUUCCGAAAUAAGACAAAAGCUCAGCGAGCCUCCUGUUCACGGAGGCACAGCUGCACCUCCCAUUCCUUUUUUUUUUUUUUUUUUUUUUUUUUCCCACAGUUAAGCAGCUUCCAAAUACAUUGAGAACCUUUCGUCCCUACCUUCGUCCUCAUCGGAGACAGGAGACCUUCCAUGUUGAUUUAAUCCUCAUGCCAAUUCCACUCUUCUCCAAGUUAGUCCCUCUCCGUUUUCUUCCUCAAGCAUCCCACAUGAAGAAAGCCAUGUCAGGAGCCAAAAGCAACUCCCAUUUCAGCCACGGCACCCAGCAGCCAACCUGUCUAACUUGAAUCCCCAGUGCCUGGAAAGCACUGUUCCUGGAGAAACCUCCCCACCUUCCCUUUUUCUCUGCCUCUCUUUCUCUCCCUCUCUUUUUCUCUCCCCCCUCCCCAUAAUCUGCCUACAGCUCUCUGUACAACCCGCUCACUUGACAAAUGAUCACUGUCUUACGUAAUGCAUUCAAACCAAGGAAAAGUGAUCUUACCCAAACUAAGGGGAUCAGGUCAUCCAGAACAAGUGAGGGGGGCAGACUUUGUUUCAGUGUCCUGUCUUUACAGGGAUUUGAAAGCCCUUAAUCUUGCAUUUAGGUCUCUAGCAACUACAGGUUAAAGAAUACUUUAUUCUUUCCUCCUCUAAAACAGGAUAUAGGCAGGAAGGGGUGAAUUACAGCUGUCCCCAAUAGCGCUCAGCAAGCUUUCUGAUUUGUAGAUUUUUUUUUCCUUUGGUUGUGUCUACAUUUUGGUGGUGGGAGGUGCUCUGAAACUGUGAUUUCAAACAUGUAACGGACUUAUUGUGUGGAAACUCCCUCCACUAAUACAAAUGAAUGACUGAUUUAUUGCUUAUUAUCUGCAACUUACAGCAGUGAUGUCAAAAUCAAGUAGAAACUGUAACCACUAAGACAUAUAUAACCCUGCUGCUUAGAAAAGUGUACAUUAAUAUGAAAUGUUUUAUUGUGUUUUUAUUUAUUUUGUUAGAUAUUUCCCAUUUUAAUCUAGUAUAGUCACACUUAGGAGAAUCGCUGAGGUAUGUGGCCCCCAGGGGAGGACUGUGUUUGACACCUCUGACUUAGAAUAUUAAAGAGUUUCUUGAGAUACUGAAAGCUUAAAUGAUUUAUCCAUGAUCACUCAGUUAAUAUGUUUUAGGAACAAGAUGUACAGUCAGGUCUUUUUGACUUCAAAGCUAGUCCUCUAUCCACUAAUUUCAGGUGUCACUUCCUUGUCUGCAUAGGGGAUAGGAAUAAGAAUUGAAUUUAUUAUUUAAAUGGUCUAGGAAACUACAAGCUGAUAAAAUUUCUUCCAUUAAAUUCUUAGCAAAUGAUUGUCUUAGAACAAUUAGAAGUUAAGUGACUUAAGAGUCACACAGACAACGUAUGCCAGUGGUUGGACUAUAAUCCAAAUCUUUGGGUUCCAAGGCCAACUCACUACUCAUAAUGUCAUGGUUUCUGUGUCAAUGUAAUGUGUGAAUGAGAAUGAAAAUUUCAAGCAACUGUGUUCCCAAUUAUGCAUCUGGAUGAUUUUUAGGGCUAUGAAAAUACAACUUUAUCUAUUACUUAGAUGAAAAGAAUUUUUCAAACAGAGAUUCAUGGACUUGGUUCCUAAAAAGCUGAGCAUUAAGUAGCAAAUCUCUAUAUCAAAAAAGAUACUAAAGAAAUCAGGAUUUGUCUGUUUCAUUUCAGAUUUGCUCAUAAAAGUGCAAAAACAAUAAAAAUGUAUAGCACAUUCCUGUGUUAAACAAAAUAAGAUGCAAUCUUUGAUAUAUUUCUCCACUUUCUUCUUUUUUUCCUCUUUAUGUCUUAGGUAACUUUCCAUUAUGAAAAUGAUUCAAAUAUCCUACUUCAAAUAAUGGCUCUUUAGUUAUAUCUGAGAACAUCAAUGCCAUUCCAAGAAAUCCAUCAGUCAUUAUUUUGGGAAUCACUAUUUUUAAAGGCUGGAUCAAUCUAACUUCUACCUUGUAGGAACAUUGUGUUAACGAUGGCAAAUGAAUUACUUAUGUGUGUUUUAGUGUAAUCAGAAACUUUCUUCUGUUGUAUCCCUUCUUUUUUUUUUUUUUUUUGUUUUCCCUCUCUUAAUUUUAACUCCCUAGGAAGAAAAGAGAAAUAGAUUGUCGUUCCAGAUAAGUCACAAAAUGUACCUCUAAUACCAUCUUUCCAAUCAUCAGUGAUGUUAACACAUGAACACACACACACACACACACACACAUCCAAAACAUCUUUGGAUUUUGAUACCUCCAUGCUUUUAAGGGUACCUCCAUGUUUGCUAAGGGUAAGGGCAGCUAGAUAGUAUAGUAGAUAGAGUGCUGGCCCUGAAGGCAGGAGGACCUGAAUUCAAAUCCAGCCUCAGACACUUAAUAUUUCCUAGCUAUGUGACCCUGGGUACGUCACUUAACCCCAAUUACCUCAGAAAAAAAAAAGUUGCUAAGGAUGAAAAUAUAUGUUCCCAGAAGCUUGGCAAUGAAAUCUUUUGACUUUAUCUGGACUGAUUCUUAGAGAAUAGAUAUACAAUCCACUACUGAGUCUGAUUUUAAUAUUUGGUUAAUUUUUUAUACUACCCUCUCUUACUCCUUCAUUUUAAAACCCUUCAAAUUCUACCAGUAACCACAUCAAAUAUUGUCCCAUUGUAUUUCAUAUACUGCAUUUUCUUGGUCACUCCGGUUUUACACUAAUUCUUCUUUGUGAGGAUCAAAUGAGAGAAUAAUUAUAAAGAACUUAAGAGUGUCUGUCACAUAGUAAACACUAUACAAUUGUUAACUUAUGAUCAUCAAUUCAACUUUAUUCUCAGUUAUGUCACUUCCAACAGAUCCAGUCUUAUUUGAAUGCUUUGCUAUUGUUGUUUUUUGAUAUAUUAUAGAAUGUUCCAUAACACAAAGAGUUCAGCAUUAAAUAUUUAUAGUAAAUAUAGGUCUACUUCACUGAGGUCUUAAUCUCCUAGCAACUGUCUCAACAAUCAACUUUGUUGAUACCCUUACUUUUUUUGGUCCCUUCUUAUCUUUCUAAAUUCAAGAUACAUACACACACAUGCAUAUGUGUAUAUGUAUAGCACACAUACAAACACAUCACACAUGAAUAUAUCAUACAUGUGUAUAUAUGUACAAAUACAUACAUAUAUGUAUAUUUGAGAGAUCAUCGUUAGAGAAAUAAACAUAUUUCUACCUAUCACAACCAUUUACCAUGAGCUCCUUUUUCAUCUUUUC
rnacentral:lncRNA from 1 species